AACGAACGCUGGCGGCGUGCCUAACACAUGCAAGUCGUGCGGGAAAAUGGGGGCAACCCCAUGAGUACAGCGGCGCACGGGUGAGUAACACGUAGGUAACCUGCCUUCGAGACUGGGAUAACCUGUCGAAAGACGGGCUAAUACUGGAUGAGACCACGGGAGCUCUGGCUUCCGCGGGAAAAGGUGGCCUCUGCUUGCAAGCUACUACUCGGAGAUGGGCCUGCGCGCCAUUAGCUAGUUGGUGAGGUAACGGCUCACCAAGGCAAAGAUGGCUAGC
rnacentral:rRNA from 1 species